GAAUAGAUUACUACUAUUCUGUUUUGCUUAUUGGUCAAUAUUUUGCAUUUAUAACAUCUUCCAGUGCCAUCCUAUGCUGUUGGCCUUGAUCAGUUGAAAAUAUAUGGGGUUUUUUUCAAAAUGAAUUUAUAUUAACUGAAAAAUCAAUUUAAUAUAUAAAUUUAAAAUAACUGAAAGAUAUUUGAAGUAUAAGUAGUUACAUGUAUAUGAAAAUUCAACACUCUGUUCCUAUUUAGUCAAAAGAUGCGGCAGUAAGCGUUAACUUUGUGUUUUUUGUGACUGUACGGCUAGCUUAAUAUGACUAAAAGUACAUGUUCUAAUUGUCAAAAUGGAUUUAUAUGUAAUUGUUUAUUUUCAAAAUGUUUUACAAUAAAUGUUGAUGCAUGAU
rnacentral:misc_RNA from 1 species